rnacentral:rRNA from 1 species
GACAGAGGGGGCAAGCGUUGUCCGGGCUGACUGGGCGUAAAGCGCGCGCAGGCGGUCAGAGGCGUCGGUGCUCAAAGUCCACCGCUUAACGGUGGGAGGCGUGCCGAUACGCUCUGACUGGAGGGCGGGCGAGGGUGGUGGAAUUGCCGGUGUAGUGGUGAAAUGCUUAGAUAUCGUCAAGAACACCGAUAGUGAAGACAACUAACUAGGCUUAUACUGACGCUGAGGCACGAAAGUGUGGGGAUCAAACAGG